AACGUUACAUAGUAUUACGUUAUAACGUAUAACGUCAUAUGGUAUUACGUUAUAACGUAUAACGUUAUAUAGUAUUACGAUGUAACGUACAACGUUAUAAACCAUUACUAUACAACGUGUAACGUUAUAUAGUAUUACGAUAAAACGUAUAACGUUAUAUAGUAUUACGUCAUAACGUACAACGUUAUAAACUAUUACUAUAUAACGUGAAACGUUAUAUAGUAUUACGUUAUAACGUAUAACAUUGUAUGGUAUUACGUUAUAACGUAUAACGUUAUAUACUAUUACGAUGUAUCGUAAAUAUACUAUUACUAUACAACGUGUAACGUUAUAUAGUAUUACGUUAUAUAGUAUUACUAUACAAUGUGUAACGUUACAUAGUAUUAUGUUGUAACGUAUAACGUUAUAUGGUAUUAC
rnacentral:misc_RNA from 1 species